CCUACGGGGGGCUGCAGUGGGGAAUAUUGCACAAUGGGGGAAACCCGGUUGCAGCAACCCCGCUUGAGCAAUGAAGGCCUUCGGGCCGAAAGGCCCGGCCCUAAGGAAGGAAUACUGCCGGUACCUUAGAGGGAAGCCCCGGCUAACUAGGUGCCAGCAGCCGAAGUAAUACUAAGGGGGCUAGCGUUAUCCGGAAUUACUGGGCGUGAAGGGUGCGUAGGCGGCCCUUCAAGCCAGGGGUGAAAGGCUACGGCUCAACCGUAGUAAGCCUUUGAAACUGUAGGGCUUGAGUGCAGGAGAGGAGAGUGGAAUUCCCAGUGUAGCGGUGAAAUGCGUAGAUAUUGGGAGGAACACCAGUUGCGAAGGCGGCUCUCUGGACUGUAACUGACGCUGAGGCACGAAAGCGUGGGGAGCGAACAGGAUUAGAUACCCGUGUAGUC
rnacentral:rRNA from 1 species